UACGAAGGGGGGCGAGCGUUGUUCGGAUUUACUGGGCGUAAAGGGCGCGCAGGCGGCGCAUUUUGUCAGGCGUGAAAGCCCCGGGCUUAACCUGGGAACUGCGUUUGAUACGGAUGGGCUAGAGUUCGGGAGAGGAGAGUGGAAUUCCCAGUGUAGAGGUGAAAUUCGUAGGAUAUUGGGAAGAACACCGGUGGCGAAGGCGGCGAGCUGGUCCGAUUACUGGACGCUGAGGCGCGACAGCGUGGGGGAGCAAACAGGGAUUAGAGUACCCCGAAGAUAGAUCCA
rnacentral:rRNA from 1 species